rnacentral:sRNA from 1 species
GAAGACAAGUAGAGGCACCCGCUUCUCGCCUGAUCGACACAUAGGAUAUGUAGUUGGCAGGUUACCAUGUAAGAGUAUUAACUUGGAGACGUGUGGGUGCAAUGUGUACCGACACUUUUUUUAAUGG